AUGCGUUGGUGGCUUAACUUCCCAUUCAGGGCGGUAAAAUUACGCACAUAAGUAGAGAACCAAAGUGCCAAGAACCCGCUCUGGAAAAGCGGGUUUUUUUAU
rnacentral:sRNA from 1 species